rnacentral:rRNA from 1 species
GACGAACGCUGGCGGCGUGCUUAACACAUGCAAGUCGAACGGAAAGGCCCUGCUUUUGUGGGGUGCUCGAGUGGCGAACGGGUGAGUAACACGUGAGUAACCUGCCCUUGACUUUGUGAUAACUUCAGGAAACUGGGGCUAAUACCGGAUAGGAGCUCCUGCUGCAUGGUGGGGGUUGGAAAGGUUCGGCGGUUGGGGAUGGACUCGCGGCUUAUCAGCUUGUGGGUGGGGUAGUGGCUUACCAAGGCUUUGACGGGUAGCCGGCCUGAGCGGGUGACCGGCCUCAAUGGGACUGGGAAACGCGCCAGACUCCUACGGGCGGCAGGAGUGGGGAACAUUGCACACUGGCCGGAAGCCUGAUGCAGGAAUGCGGCGUGGGGGAUGACGGCCUUCGGGUUGUAAACCGCUUUCGCCUGUGACGAAGCGUGGGUGACGGUAAUGGGUAAAGCAGCACCGGCUAACUACGUG